CCCGCUGAUAUGAGAGACAGGUCAGCUUUUUUCGCGGCUAAAUCCAUAAAGCAAGCUGAAUACAUGCCCCAAGAUCAGGCUGAGCUCUCAGAUAUGGAGCAAUUAAUGGAACAGCCAAAUGAAAAUAUAAGUUUGGAGGCUCCACUUACACAGCAGGUAUUGCAAAUUAUGCUUGAUAACGUUGUUAUUAGAAUGCAGUCUUCGUUCAUAGAUGCUAUCUCUGAGGUUAAGGGAGAUCUGACAGAGUUAGCUGCACGCACACAUAAUGUGGAGACUGAUUUACGGAACUCAUGUACUGAGACUGGAAAACGUUUUGUGCGAUUAGAGGAGCGAAUAGCCUCCCAAGAACUUAAAAUUAUGAACCUGGAAGACAGGUCAAGACGAAAUCAUGUUCGAUUAAGAGGUAUACUGGAAGAAGUAAGUGCACAAAGCUUAACAACUUAUGUUACAGAGUUCUUUCAAAUUCUACUACCAGAUACUCCAAUCGAAAAGCUAGUAUUAGAUCGUGUGCAUAGAGUACCAAAACCACAACAUCUUUCCUCCACCACACCAAGAGAUGUCCUCGUAAAGAUUCACUUUUUUAACACUAAAGAGCUGAUUUUAAGAGCUCACAGAAAUAAAAAAGAUAUACCGGAGAGAUUUAGAGGAAUAUCUCUGUUUUCAGAUCUAUCAGCAGAGACCAUGAGACGUAGACGGAC